rnacentral:rRNA from 1 species
UACGUAGGCAGCGAGCGUUGUUCGGAAUUACUGGGCGUAAGGAGUGUGUAGGCGGUGUUCCAAGUUCGGUGUGAAAUCUCCCGGCUUAACUGGGAGGGUGCGCCGAAAACUGGAAUGCUCGAGCGUGGGAGAGGAAAGCGGAAUUCCUGGUGUAGCGGUGAAAUACGUAGAUAUCAGGAGGAACACCGGCGGCGUAGACGGCUUUCUGGACCAUUGCUGACGCUGAGACACGAAGGCGUGGGUAG